rnacentral:rRNA from 1 species
GAGUUGAUCGUGGCUCAGAUUGAACGCUGGCGGCAGGCCUAACACAUGCAAGUCGAGCGGAUGAAGGGAGCUUGCUCCUGGAUUCAGCGGCGGACGGGUGAGUAAUGCCUAGGAAUCUGCCUGGUAGUGGGGAUAACGUCCGGAAACGGGCGCUAAUACCGCAUACGUCCUGAGGGAGAAAGUGGGGAGUCUUCGGACCUCACGCUAUCAGACGAGCCUAGGUCGGAUUAGCUAGUUGGUGGGGUAAAGGCCUACCAAGGCGACGAUCCGUAACUGGUCUGAGAGGAUGAUCAGUCACACUGGAACUGAGACACGGUCCAGACUCCUACGGGAGGCAGCAGUGGGGAAUAUUGGACAAUGGGCGAAAGCCUGAUCCAGCCAUGCCGCGUGUGUGAAGAAGGUCUUCGGAUUGUAAAGCACUUUAAGUUGGGAGGAAGGGCAGUAAGUUAAUACCUUGCUGUUUUGACGUUACCAACAGAAUAAGCACCGGCUAACUUCGUGCCAGCCG